CGAGCGGACCGACGGGAGCUUGCUCCCUUAGGUCAGCGGCGGACGGGUGAGUAACACGUGGGUAACCUGCCUGUAAGACUGGGAUAACUCCGGGAAACCGGGGCUAAUACCGGAUGCUUGAUUGAACCGCAUGGUUCAAUCAUAAAAGGUGGCUUUUAGCUACCACUUACAGAUGGACCCGCGGCGCANUAGCUAGUUGGUGAGGUAACGGCUCACCAAGGCGACGAUGCGUAGCCGACCUGAGAGGGUGAUCGGCCACACUGGGACUGAGACACGGCCCAGACUCCUACGGGAGGCAGCAGUAGGGAAUCUUCCGCAAUGGACGAAAGUCUGACGGAGCAACGCCGCGUGAGUGAUGAAGGUUUUCGGAUCGUAAAACUCUGUUGUUAGGGAAGAACAAGUACCGUUCGAAUAGGGCGGNACCUUGACGGUACCUAACCAGAAAGCCACGGCUAACUACGUGCCAGCAGCCGCGGUAAUACGUAGGUGGCAAGCGUUGUCCGGAAUUAUUGGGCGUAAAGCGCGCGCAGGCGGUUUCUUAAGUCUGAUGUGAAAGCCCCCGGCUCAACCGGGGAGGGUCAUUGGAAACUGGGGAACUUGAGUGCAGAAGAGGAGAGUGGAAUUCCACGUGUAGCGGUGAAAUGCGUAGAGAUGUGGAGGAACACCAGUGGCGAAGGCGACUCUCUGGUCUGUAACUGACGCUGAGGCGCGAAAGCGUGGGGAGCGAACAGGAUUAGAUACCCUGGUAGUCCACGCCGUAAACGAUGAGUGCUAAGUGUUAGAGGGUUUCCGCCCUUUAGUGCUGCAGCAAACGCAUUAAGCACUCCGCCUGGGGAGUACGGUCGCAAGACUGAAACUCAAAGGAAUUGACGGGGGCCCGCACAAGCGGUGGAGCAUGUGGUUUAAUUCGAAGCAACGCGAAGAACCUUACCAGGUCUUGACAUCCUCUGACAACCCUAGAGAUAGGGCUUCCCCUUCGGGGGCAGAGUGACAGGUGGUGCAUGGUUGUCGUCAGCUCGUGUCGUGAGAUGUUGGGUUAAGUCCCGCAACGAGCGCAACCCUUGAUCUUAGUUGCCAGCAUUCAGUUGGGCACUCUAAGGUGACUGCCGGUGACAAACCGGAGGAAGGUGGGGAUGACGUCAAAUCAUCAUGCCCCUUAUGACCUGGGCUACACACGUGCUACAAUGGGCAGAACAAAGGGCAGCGAAGCCGCGAGGCUAAGCCAAUCCCACAAAUCUGUUCUCAGUUCGGAUCGCAGUCUGCAACU
rnacentral:rRNA from 1 species